rnacentral:rRNA from 1 species
GACGAACGCUGGCGGCGUGCCUAACACAUGCAAGUCGAACGGGGUUGAGUGCUUCGGUAUUCAACUUAGUGGCGAACGGGUGAGUAACGCGUGAAGAACCUGCCUUUCAGUGGGGGACAACAGUUGGAAACGACUGCUAAUACCGCAUAAGCCCACAGCACCGCAUGGUGCAGGGGGAAAAGAUUUAUUGCUUUGAGAUGAGCUCGCGUCCAAUUAGCUGGUUGGUGAGGUAACGGCCCACCAAGGCGACGAUUGGUAGCCGGACUGAGAGGUUGAACGGCCACAUUGGGACUGAGAUACGGCCCAGACUCCUACGGGAGGCAGCAGUGGGGAAUAUUGCACAAUGGGGGGAACCCUGAUGCAGCGACGCCGCGUGGAGGAAGAAGGUCUUCGGGAUUGUAAACUCCUGUUGUUAGGGACGAUAAUGACGGUACCUAACAAGGAAGCACCGGCUAACUACGUG